GCAAGUCGAGCGGCAAGUUGGGUAGUAAUACUUGACCUAGAGCGGCGCACGGGUGCGUAACGCGUAUGCAACCUACCUUUUACUGGGGGAUAGCCCGGAGAAAUCUGGAUUAAUACCCCAUGGUAUCUACGAAUCGAAUGUUUUGUAGCUUAAAGAUUUAUCGGUAAAAGAUGGGCAUGCGUCUGAUUAGCUAGUUGGCGGGGUAACGGCCCACCAAGGCGACGAUCAGUAGGGGUUCUGAGAGGAAGGUCCCCCACACUGGCACUGAGAUACGGGCCAGACUCCUACGGGAGGCAGCAGUAGGGAAUAUUGGGCAAUGGUCGCAAGACUGACCCAGCCAUGCCGCGUGCAGGAAGACGGCCCUCUGGGUUGUAAACUGCUUUUAUCUGGGAAGAAAAAGUCCAUGCGUGGAAAAUUGCCGGUACCAGAUGAAUAAGCACCGGCUAACUCCGUGCCAGCAGCCGCGGUAAUACGGAGGGUGCAAGCGUUGUCCGGAUUUGUUGGGUUUAAAGGGUGCGUAGGCGGCUGAAUAAGUCAGCGGUGAAAGACUUCGGCUUAACCGGAGCAGUGCCGUUGAUACUGUUUGGCUUGAGUGUUGGAGGGGUACAUGGAAUUGAUGGUGUAGCGGUGAAAUGCAUAGAUACCAUCAGGAACACCGAUAGCGAAGGCAUUGUACUGGCCAACAACUGACGCUGAGGCACGAAAGUGUGGGGAUCGAACAGGAUUAGAUACCCUGGUAGUCCACACUGUAAACGAUGAUUACUCGCUGUUAUGGUGUAUGCUGUAGCGGCCAAGCGAAAGCGUUAAGUAAUCCACCUGGGGA
rnacentral:rRNA from 1 species